UCGUGGUUAGACUAGGACAUACUUGCAUGGUGCUGCCUGCGUUCAUCUCACUCUGGUAUCUGGGUUCCAGGCUAUAAGAAAACUUAAUAAGCCUUGAGAUUGUGUACUACAGGAUUGGCUACUGGCAUCAUCUGCAGUGUAAGAUCCAGGGUACCGGCUGAUCUGGGGGUGCGGCUGCUCGGGGGAUUUUCCGUCAAGGCACUGAGAUCGAACCAUUAGCCUCCAGGCCAGCCUCACACAGCAAUCUGCCCCCC